rnacentral:rRNA from 1 species
GACGAACGCUGGCGGCGUGCUUAACACAUGCAAGUCGAACGGAAAGGCCCUGCUUUUGUGGGGUGCUCGAGUGGCGAACGGGUGAGUAACACGUGAGUAACCUGCCCUUGACUUUGGAAUAACUUCAGGAAACUGGGGCUAAUACCGGAUAGGAGCUCCUGCUGCAUGGUGGGGGUUGGAAAGUUUCGGCGGUUGGGGAUGGACUCGCGGGUUAUCAGCUUGUUGGUGGGGUAGUGGCUUACCCAGGCUUUGACGGGUAGCCGGCCUGGGAGGGUGACCGGCCACAAUGGGACUGAGGUACGGCCCAGACUCCUACGGUAGGCAGCAGUGGGGAAUAUUGCACAAUGGGCGGGAGCCUGAUGCAGCAACGCCGCGUGCGUGAUGACGGCCUGCGGGGUGUAAACCGCUUUCGCCUGUGACGAAGCGUGAGUGACGGUAAUGGGUAAAGAAGCACCGGCUAACUACGUG